ACGUGCUUUUGCUUCAGUUGCACUAUGCAUAGCAUUAUUAUCAUUUUGAUGGAUAUAGUGGAGAUUAAUGUUUACAAAUGAAGAAUAUUCUAUAGCUAGGAUAAAACUACUUCACACAUAAGGACUAGAGUAGAGACACAAUAUCACAUAAUAUUAUGGCUUCACGACGAAAACAGUCAUAUAUCUAUGAUGAUGACACAGAUGAGGUUGAUUUCGAUUUCUACUGUUCUGACACGGAACAAAAAUGUCAAGCAAAGCUUAACAACGAUUGUGAAAACUUGAUUAUUUCACAAAGACCUGAACAAAAUGAACUUCAAAUAAAGAUUAAUAACGAAUUGAAAGAUGAGGAAAUAGCGGAAAAUGUCAUGGAAAUACGAGAACCGUAUACACCAUCAGAUAUAAAAGUUAUUCCUCUUGACGGGGAGGAAGGUAAAAAAAAACAGCUUCCAUAAAAUCAGCAGGAAAUGAGGAAAACAAAAAAAUGGCAUGUUCACUUUGUGCUAAUCGUACUCGUGUUUUGAACGUAUCUCAGUUAGAGAAGGGACAACACAUUUCAAUGCCAGGUAAAUAUGGAAAGCUUUAUGAGCACCAUGCAAUCGUAAUCGACGUAAAAAGUACGUCAGGAACACAAGUUUUACUGGAGCUGAUACAUUUUCGCAGAGACGAGAAAGAUAAAAUCAUUAAAAUUACCAAAAAUGAGCAAACAUAUGACCUUGGAUUUAAUCAACUUUAUAUCACACAAUAUGGGCAUCGCAGACAUUCAAGGAAGGAUAUUGUUAAACGCGCAGAUACAAUUAUGUGUGAUUACAAACAAUCUAAGUUUAAGAAAUACAACUUUUUGCAAUUAAACUGUGAACAUUUUGCAACUUGGUGUGUAAACGGUAAAGAAGAAUGUUUUCAAGUUCAAAAAUGUUUAGACUUUCUUGUCAAAGUUACCACAGCAGUCUUUGGCGGUAGUAGUCGAGUGGUUAGGGCGCUUUUAAAACUGCUAAUCAUGAGUACGGAUAAACUAGCGGCGUUUUUGUCUUACGCUGUUCCAGAAAUUAGUAUUGGGGCAAAUGCGUGUGUUUACUUGUUGUAUUGUAUUGCAAAUACAAUAUACGUAUACUGGAACUACAGGACAAAAAAUGUAUGUAGGGCUUGUUUGAAAAGGAAAUUGAAAGAGAUGUGGUUAAACUUUGGAGUUUUUGUUGGAUUAGCUGCUUUACAAUUUGUGAUUUACACUUUUGCAUUGUCAUCCAUUGGACCUAUAAUAGGAAAUCCGUUGAUUGCCGUUGUAGUUUUGUUGUUUAUUGCGUUGCAAGUUGCUGUAAUAAAGAUAAUACGCGUCCUUAGAAAUCCAUUUCAAGUGAAGAAAAGGAAAAUUAAAACGCCCUUGCAGCUUAGAGUUGCAGACAUAGUGGCCUUCAGAUAUUAUGGACUAGAGCAUGUCGCAAUUAUUUCGGAUAUUACGGAUGUAAACGAAGGAUCACGGUCAGCAAGAGUCAAAUGCAUCCAUUAUGGUCUUCGCCAUUUGUUUGCGAAGAGAGAAAUUGUUGACGAAGACUUUGAAAUGAAUCUUGCAGUUUCAUCAUGGCAUGUAUAUGACGUAAAUGGCCCACAUACUUAUUCAAGGGACGAAAGGCUAAGUCGUGCCAGAAAAAGGGUCGGUGAAAAAAGAUGGAAAAUCACAAAUAGAUCAGACUUUUUAUGCCACUGGGCAACAAUUAAAACUACAAAUGAAGAUGACAUUUUUUCGGAGGUCCACACUGAUGAAAAGCUACCCGCAGGAAAGAAAGCAAUUACAAACACUCGCAACGAUAACGAGGAGAACAUGCCAGUUGAUCUGUUGAACACAACACCCGUGUGCAUAGCUGAAGAGCUGAGAUUAGGUGAUGUUGUAACUUUUAAAAACGAAAAGGGUAUACUGGUUAAGAAGAAAACGACAGAUGAUCAACAAAAAGAAGUGUUAAUAUAUCUGAUCAUUCCUGAAUACCCAAUUGUAAAACGAAUAAAAUACACCGUAGACUUGAACACAAAUGAUAUAUAUGUGUUGCAUUACCACCCAGCCCGUUGCAUUCCAAUGCAAGAGCGUGUGAAACGGGCAUUGUUUCUGGAAAAAAAAAACGUGUGCCCUUUUAUGCCAGUAAUGCACUCAUAAAAGUCUGCAUCGUAAAAGAAAGGUUAUUCACAUUUACAAGAUUUUUUCGGAAAUUUUCGAUAAUGUUCGAUGAUUCACCAGAUGUGGAUUCAAGCUGUUCAUCAUGAUAGGUCAUUGUACAUUUGUUUGUGCAUACAAAUGUAUGCUUACAUAUAGAUAAGAUACAGGAGAGAAAAAUAGCACUACAAAUGCCAUGUUACUCUAUUCAUAUACCCCUUUUUGUUUUAUUUGAAUGUUUACAAAAUUGUUCAAUGAGCUGAUAUUACGAAAUCAAGCUGUAACGAACAAGUCACGAACUUCCCGAGGAGGUCGUUAUAAGCGAAGUUUACUGUGUUUUUCUUAGCCCACUGCACAGACAAAAUUGCAACAAUUUAUAAAGCAGCCCGAAAGGUAACAUAUUAUCUUUCAUCAGUGUGUUUAUAAUAUGUAAGUCUAACAUUAUAGAUGCUGUGAAGAUACAUAUUCAUAUUUUAUUACCUCAUAUUCGGUUUACUCGUUUCGUCGUUAUAAGCGAAGUUUACUGUGUUUUUCUUAGCCCACUGCACAGACAAAAUUGCAACAAUUUAUAAAGCAGCCCGAAAGGUAACAUAUUAUCUUUCAUCAGUGUGUUUAUAAUAUGUAAGUCUAACAUUAUAGAUGCUGUGAAGAUACAUAUUCAUAUUUUAUUACCUCAUAUUCGGUUUACUCGUUUCGUCGUUAG